UCAUUGAGUGUUUUAAAUCGUCCAGGACAGCUGUAAUGAGAAUAAUACAGAAAUGUAUUUAUUCAUACAUUAUAUGUGCAUGUAAGUAUAUACGUAUUGUUUUAUUUUAAAACGAGUCUUCUAGAAAAAUGCAUGUCCAUGAAUCAAUUAUGCUGCUUGCUUCCUGCCAACCAUAUGUCACGGAAGAAAACGUGUUCCAGACACUUACUGAAAUAUCUACGAGAGCGAAUAACAUGCAGAUGAUAAUAAAUCACGAAUGUGUAAGUAUAUUUUCUAUAUUAUUAUUAUUAUUAUUAUUAUUAUUAUUAUUAUUAUUAUUAUUAUUAUUAUUAUUAUUAUUAUUAUUAUUAUUCGAGGAUUAUAUAUUAAUGGGUCAGUUAUCGAUAUACCAUAACAAUUAAACAUUUACCUUUUAUAUCUUUUAUUUAUCCGCAUGAGCCUUUUCAGUGCCUGUGGUACUAAAGUAUAAAGAGGUGGAGGUCAGAACGACACAAGGAGAGAAGCUUUGAUGUCAGCAGAACCUUUCCAUUUUGAUGGAUGUUUCUGUGCGGGGGUAGAAACAGAAGGAGCCAACAUGGCGCGCUUACACAGCUUGUGAAGCAGUUCAACCUUUCGGCUUACAUCAUGCUCGUCAACACACAUACACGUAUUGAAAUGAAAGCAUUUUUCUGUCUUUUUUUUUAUCAAACACUGAUCGUGUAUUGUAAUCCUCUUUUGAAUAUGUUAACAUGUUACCUGUUUCCUGUUCAUCUGUACUUUAAAAUUACUAUUUAUUUUCAGAGCACAACACAAACUUAUAAAGGAUGAAAUUGAAACAUACCAAAAACAUUAUUAUUAUUUUGGUGCACACACCAGUGUUAAAAACUCAGAACUCAUAUUAAUACAUACACAAUGUAUUUUUUUUAAUUUUUAUGAUUUAUUUGUCAGAAUUAGAGCAGUAUGGAAUGUAUGACAAUGAAACAGAAAUUUGAAUGUUCCAUAUCAAACAUUUUCCAGAUUAUUAUUUCUGAAUUGUGUACUGUCUUAUUGCACCAUUGUUGUUCAAACACCAUUAAAAAAGUUUCUCUUUGAAAUGUA